rnacentral:rRNA from 1 species
ACGGGUGAGUAACACGUGGGCAACCUACCUUAUCGACUGGGAUAACUCCGGGAAACCGGGGCUAAUACCGGAUAACAUCUAGCACCUCCUGGUGCCGGAUUAAAAGAGGGCUUCUUGCUCUCACGAUGAGAUGGGCCCGCGGCGCAUUAGCUAGUUGGAGAGGUAAUGGCUCCCCAAGGCGACGAUGCGUAGCCGACCUGAGAGGGUGAUCGGCCACACUGGGACUGAGACACGGCCCAGACUCCUACGGGAGGCAGCAGUAGGGAAUCUUCCGCAAUGGACGAAAGUCUGACGGAGCAACGCCGCGUGAGUGAUGAAGGGUUUCGGCUCGUAAAGCUCUGUUAUGAGGGAAGAACACGUACCGUUCGAAUAGGGCGGUACCUUGACGGUACCUCAUCAGAAAGCCACGGCUAACUACGUGCCAGCAGCCGCGGUAAUACUUAGGUGGCAAGCGUUGUCCUGAAUUAUUGGGCGUAAAGCGCGCGCAGGCGGCCUUUUAAGUCUGAUGUGAAAUCUUGCGGCCCAACCGCAUGCGGCCAUUGGAAACUGUAAGGCUUGAGUACAGGAGAGGAGA